rnacentral:rRNA from 1 species
UACGUAGGGUGCAAGCGUUAAUCGGAAUUACUGGGCGUAAAGCGUGCGCAGGCGGUUUUGUAAGACUGUCGUGAAAUCCCCGGGCUCAACCUGGGAAUGGCGAUGGUGACUGCAAGGCUAGAGUUUGGCAGAGGGGGGGUAGAAUUCCACGUGUAGCAGUGAAAUGCGUAGAUAUGUGGAGGAACACCGAUGGCGAAGGCAGCCCCCCUGGGUCAAAAACUGACGCUCAUGCACGAAAGCGUGGGGAGCAAACAGG